rnacentral:rRNA from 2 species
UAUGGUGACAAAAGCAGAAGGGAUACACCUGUAUCCAUACCGAACACAGAAGUUAAGCCUUCUAACGCCGAUGGUACUCGGAGGGAGACCUCCCGGGAGAUUAGGAAGUUGCCAAAC